UACGAAGGGUGCAAGCGUUACUCGGAAUUACUGGGCGUAAAGCGUGCGUAGGUGGUUUGUAAGUCUGAUGUGAAAGCCCUGGGCUCAACCUGGGAAUGCAUUGGAUACUGGCAGGCUAGAGUGCGGUAGAGGAUGGCGGAAUUCCCGGUGUAGCAGUGAAAUGCGUAGAGAUCGGGAGGAACAUCUGUGGCGAAGGCGGCCAUCUGGACCAGCACUGACACUGAGGCACGAAAGCGUGGGGAGCAACAGGAUAGAAACCCG
rnacentral:rRNA from 1 species